CAUCUCUUGGUAUAGACUUUGUAAAUGGAUCUACUACUAUAUCAUGUGUAAAUAUAUACUUCAUGUUCACUUCUUUUUGUGCAACCAUAUCCUUCACGAAAUUGUAUUUAGUGUUUAUAUGUUUAUUUUUCUAUGAAAUUUGAGAUCUUUGGUAUAUGUUAUUUUUGUUUGACUGUUACAGUUCAUAAUUGCUAGUUUACUAGCAAUACCGUUGACUCCUAAAUAGUCCAUAAACGUUUUUAACCAAACAGUUUCUUGCACUGCAACUAAAAAAGCUACAAACUCAGCUUCUAUUGUGGAA
rnacentral:lncRNA from 1 species